UCCAAAUCUUGUCAUUGAGCGAAGAAUUAUUAGAUUCUCUGUUAGCUUUCUUCUCAGAUUUUAUCCGUCGAACAGUGGAGAACACCUAAAUGCUUACAAUCAUAAAAAUGUACCAGGCUAUACCGAGCCGUAUGUAUUGUUGAUGAUGAAAAUAAACGUGUGGUAGAUCCAGAAUUCCACCAUUUUGCUGCCGAUCGAAAUUGCGAUCACGCGAGGCGCGAAAUCACUUAAACAGACGAGAAGCGAUUAACGGACGCGCUUUUCGUCACUCAUUCGGAAACUUAGGCCAAGAUUUAAACAUUAGUAUCGUGACAGUUUAAUAUCUACGCCUUGGCACGAGACGCGCAAAGCGCGCUAGCUACUAGAUCUUCAGUGAUGUUGAAACCCAGGCUUAUGACAUGCUCGGAUAAGCCGGUCGUAUAUUAUAACGGCAUUUAAUACCGUCCAUUGUUCUUUUCCCCUUGUCUUUAUUAUAAUAAUAAAUCCGGUAUAUCCACGCGCGAAGGGAGCGCGGAGCGCCACGUGUUCGAACCAGUGUCGUUUCUUAAUCAUGGCAGGAUCAAGCGGAUAGAAACUAAGGCUGAUACAAAUGAUCCGACGUGGAAGCUUACGAUAGCUCAACCCCACGCAAUUAAAGCUUCGUAACCGGAACACCUGUCGAACAUUCACGUUCUCGGUAUUCUAUCAUUGACAAGUUAUAGCACUCGUAUAGCUGUAAUAGAUUGAUGGGACGAGGCACGCCGUAAAAAUAGGAAAUAAAACUUACUAUACGAUCG